UUUAGUUGAACUUCAAUCGUGUUCGCGAAUAGACGUGCUUGUUGUGUGCCGCCAGGAAAUUGAUAAAAAUUCCUGGAAAACAGUAGUGUUUUACUUUUAUUUUAUUGUUGAAUUAGUGGCCAUACGGAUUUUCUAUCCGAAGCAGUUUCUUCAGCGAAUCCGGCUCCGGAAAACGCUAGUUCGGACGAAUCUGGCUAAAUUUGUGCAAAACGGCGACAAUGGAUCUGCACGGAAUGUCAUUUAAUUACGAAUAUCUCGAGCAGGAGCAUCCAGAGGAACGCUUAAAUCCAACUUUUAAAACCCAAAAAUCACGAACAGUUGUCAAACCAACAGAAAAAAAUUUCCCAAUCAACAAAGAAAAAAUAGCAAAAAUGAACAACUCCUUUAAAAUUCUAAACCCAUCACAGAAGGAAUCCCAAUUUUUAAGCGCUUCCGUAUUAACCCAACCUACACGAAUACCGAUAAUUUAUAAACCUGGAUCAGCAACAUCUACCCAUGGAGUUGUUCCUAAGCCAACAUUAAAAACGGUGUCCAAAAACCCAGGACCAAUAGGGGUAUCAACCCUUUCUCAUUGCUUGGUCUCUACGCCCGUGGGAGGACCGAUAAUGAACAAACCAGUGUCAGUUACCAGUUCUUCUUAAGGAACUAUGUCCACAUCAAUACCGGAAUUGAAGAUGGGUAAGAAACCAAUCGAAAUCAACGAAGAAACCAUGACUAUACUGUUCGAGAAACUAGAAAUCAUCGAAAAAAAAGUGGAUGUAAGCAAUCAAUUAAAGGUUGCACAAAAAAGAAUCCUUAAUGAUCUAGUCAUGAAGAUAGACCGGCUAACGGAGGAAAUUAACGCGCAAAACAAUCGUGGAAGACGUUGUGCUGUACUACCGCUCAAAGGACAACACGAUUUGGAUAACAUUGAGGAAAACUUCAACGAUCAUGAACCCCAACUGCGUGUAUUGUUUACAGAUUUUAAAAGCUAUUCUAUCAAAACAUUUUUUAAGCAUUUUGUUGAGCAGUUACUCUACAAUACUGACCACUACAACUGGACGGGCGUAAAGGCACAUAACGCACCUGAAGGAAAAAUAAUCAAAAAGGCAUCUGAGUUAAAAAUUUUCAACCUUCUGUUGGAAAUAGGCAUAGAAAAAACGCAUAUAGAAAGAAGAAUGGCCAUUUCUGAAAUGGUCCAUGCCAUCAACGGCUUCAAUGACGCAAAGGCUGCUCGACAAAAGAGAAGAAAACUUGAUUAACAUAUGCGUAUAAAACAAAUGAAUAGACCAAACUCGAAUAUCAAAAAAUCAGCUACACAUCAGAGGAAAAAAUAAUUUGUAAUGAAUCCGAUCUCAUUGGUGUCUCUAAAUAGGUUGCGGAUUGCCUUUUCGCUGAAUAUCAAUGCACCAGCUUGGUAUUACCACAUAAGAUAUGUAUCCCAAUUUAUUCGCCGGUAGGCGAGUAGUGCACGAACUCUUCAUUUUUCAAUUGAAAGAAUUAAUCACGCAUCUGGGAUACAAUUUUGAUGAAGCGGAAGUCAGAAAGUAUGAUAUAAUGUUGUAUAGCUUCCUGUUAUGGAAAGUAUCAGACAGAUGGUUUAUGGAAGCACUCCGAUGCUACGACGCGGAUGUGGACAGCUGCAAAAUCUUUGAACAGAAUUGUUUAUUAGUGCCUUUCAUCGAUUGCGCAAAUUAUCCUGAGGAUUUGUUUCACGGUGAAGAAAAUGCAUCUAGUUAAUUUUUAAUAAACCAUUGAAGAAAAAGUAAAAUCGAAUAUCAGGUUUUGAAUAUGUAGCCAAAGUGGUGAAAAUGUCAACUUCCCGAAAUAUAGUGGUUUAUUCAACCGUUUCCAUCAGUUUUUCGUUCUGGACAAUACAGCCCACAAAAAAACGUAAACAUACAAACCGGAAUGCUUGACGACUCGGCGGGAAUAUAUAUUACAAAAAUAAUCUCGCGGCAAAAUGGUGAGAUCUCUCAUCGUAUCGGUAACAAAAUGAAGAUAUUUUUCAAAUCGAACUCAGAUAUUGGCCGAGAAUAAAUUUUAAUCCCCUGCUAAGUAUGCCGAGAAUUGUCUGCCUCGACUUCAAUGACACGUCAGAGAAUUGCUAAAUCUCACAAGCUAAUGAUUGGGCCCAGAAUACAUAUUGACGGUACGAGCAGUAGGCUUACAGCACACGCAUUAAGUGCAACAUUGUAGCAGCAGAUCUCUAGCGAUGUAUAUUAAAAAAACUGUUCUUCUAGAGGUAUAUAAACGCUUUACAUCGACAUGGUAUGCAUCUUAACGUGGACCAGUAACGAAAACAUCUUUGUGCGGAUUUGAACCAGCGACACUGACCUUAAGAGCAGUAGGCCUGCAUCAAGCAGACCGUCUAUCACUUGGUUGGUUCAAUAAACCAUCUACCACGAGCCACUUUCGUAAGUCGCGCCCGUUCAUCAUUGAAGUCGAGAGCUUCGCCGGAAGUGAAAUACGAGAUAUUGGAACUUCGUAGUACGUCUUUCAUUCUCCACCUUGGUCACGCAAUAUAAUCUCCGUUGCUGUCAUAAUACCAUUGGAAUUUACUGCAAGAGUCUGGCCACAACACAACUAGAUUCUUCAUACAAAGCGAUGCUGAUAACGACUUGACACUGUACUGUAGAAAGCAGUCGGCCGAUUGACCUGUUGGUUGGAAUUGUGGUUCAGCGGAUUCUUAAUUUCUGGUUUGUAUAUCCUCAGUAUAGACACCGCAGCAUCACCUGUCCACCCACAAGGACCUACAAUCUGGAACGAGCACCCGAUACAUCAAGGUCACUUGGUUCUACUCGCUAAAAAGCUGUACGUUAUAAUUAAAAUGUACGACAACCCGUUAUCAAGGCGUCCGCAGUCUAGAAAAUACUUUUUUGUCAAUAAAUAAAAAUAUGCAUUUUAA